rnacentral:rRNA from 1 species
GUCAUGGUUAAGUGGGAAACGAUGUGGGAAGGCCCAGACAGCCAGGAUGUUGGCUUAGAAGCAGCCAUCAUUUAAAGAAAGCGUAAUAGCUCACUGGUCGAGUCGGCCUGCGCGGAAGAUGUAACGGGGCUAAACCAUGCACCGAAGCUGCGGCAGCGACACUCAGGUGUUGUUGGGUAGGGGAGCGUUCUGUAAGCCUGCGAAGGUGGCCUGUGAGGGUUGCUGGAGGUAUCAGAAGUGCGAAUGCUGACAUAAGUAACGAUAAAGCGGGUGAAAAGCCCGCUCGCCGGAAGACCAAGGGUUCCUGUCCAACGUUAAUCGGGGCAGGGUGAGUCGACCCCUAAGGCGAGGCCGAAAGGCGUAGUCGAUGGGAAACGGGUUAAUAUUCCCGUACUUGGUGUUACUGCGAAGGGGGGACGGAGAAGGCUAUGUUGGCCGGGCGACGGUUGUCCCGGUUUAAGCGUGUAGGUGUGUGUUCCAGGUAAAUCCGGUUCACUUUAACACUGAGGCGUGAUGACGAGGCACUACGGUGCUGAAGCAACAAAUGCCCUGCUUCCAGGAAAAGCCUCUAAGCAUCAGGUAACAUCAAAUCGUACCCCAAACCGACACAGGUGGUCAGGUAGAGAAUACCAAGGCGCUUGAGAGAACUCGGGUGAAGGAACUAGGCAAAAUGGUGCCGUAACUUCGGGAGAAGGCACGCUGA